UUUCUGGGCACCAUGGGAGUUUAAAAAAAUUUUUUUUUUUUUUUGGUACCGGAGAUCGAACUCGGGUCCUUGCGCUUUCGAGGCAGGUGGCAGAACCACUGAGCUAAAUCCCCAGCCCCCCAAAAUUUUUUAUUAAAAUGUUUGCAGUACAUAAUGAUGACAUUCAUCUUUUUUGGGGGGGAUGGGUUGGUACAUAUAAAUAGCACCUUAAUUCUUUUUCCAUGACAUGUUUUGGUACAUGUGUACAUUGUAUAAUGUUUGAAUCAGGGUGGCAGCCACUUCUUCCAGAAGCCCUGACAGUCAGCGAGAUACUUCACUGGGCUGAGAGGCAUGACUCAGCGUCUGGCUCCAUGGCAUUCUCCAUCUCCCAGAAUCGCAGUUUCAGUGCUCACCUCUGUGACUCAGCUGUCACGACCUCUCUGGGAACAAGCCCUGCCCUUGGAUACCACCCUGUUUUCGUGUUGUCUGUUGCCUCGGCCAAUGCUUAGCACCAUUCCUGUAUGAAGCUGCACAUUGGGGUACCAGCCCCUGCCAGCUGGGAAGCACAAGAAUACCAGGAGGUUGUUCUUUGUAGAAUCUACCAGUCAACUGAAAACGCCUUCUCUUCUGGCCACCAAAAGGGAAUAAAGAAUGCCAUGAAGAUUUAACUCAUCAUAAAUGAAUACACUUCUUUAUUUAAAAAGGCAUUUUUCUUUUUCAAAGGGAACAAAGGCGUAUUGACCAGCUGGUUAUUUAAGUUUAUGAAAACACAUAGCAUGGGCUGCUGAUGGUUUUCUGUAAUUUUUCAGUAAUAAUCGUAAGUGAAGAAAAAGACAAGAAAAUUUGAG
rnacentral:lncRNA from 1 species